rnacentral:rRNA from 1 species
GGUAGCCGGCCUGAGAGGGNGACCGGCCACACUGGGACUGAGANACGGCCCAGACUCCUACGGGAGGCAGCAGUGGGGAAUAUUGGGCAAUGGANGAAACUCUGACNCAGCGACGCCGCGUGCGGGAUGAAGGCCUUCGGGUUGUAAACCGCUUUCAGCAGGGAAGAAGCGAAAGUGACGGUACCUGCAGAAGAAGCACCGGCUAACUAUGUGCCAGCAGCCGCGGUAAUACAUAGGGUGCAAGCGUUGUCCGGAAUUAUUGGGCGUAAAGAGCUCGUAGGUGGUUNGUCACGUCGGAUGUGAAACUCUGGGGCUNAACCCCNNACCUGCAUUCGAUACGGGCNANCUKGAGUAUGGUAGGGGA